UAAACUCAAGCAAAAUAAAGUCUAACGCUACUGCUCAUCAUGAACGACCACAGCGAGAUAGGGUGAUAAUGUUAUGGCUGGUUGUCGUCUUCUUCCUGUCGUGUUUUUUGCUUGCUCAAUAACGAUGACCGUAAAGAAGGCAACGCCGUUGAGUACUUCCAAUAUAAUAGCUUGAUCUAGCCGUUGCAGUUUGAGGAUUGGAUGACCAGCUACCAAUGGGUCCGUCCGCUGGUAGCAAUGCCAUAUUGUCUGCACAUUGUGCGCUAUUACGCUUCAAUGCGUCAAUGGAAAUACAACAGUCAUAUAUGUAAACAGGCCGAUCGAACAAACGAACGGCCGGUCGCCACCGCUUCGCAAUAACGGCGAUCUCAGCAUCUUGUCAUCUAGGAAUACGAUCUUUCAUCGAUCACUCACACCUGUCACAUCGCUAGUACAGUGCAGAGCAUAUACAGCGGCUUCAGACUACAAGAUGAGGCAUUCAAAUUCGAGCAAAGUUUAGCAGGCGGUAGCGUUUUGGAGCGGGUAAACGUUUAUUGGAUAGUCCUGCUACCAAGAGAAAGGUGUUUCCAUGACGAAACAACAAAUUUGUGGCGCCAUUUUCGAAAGUUAAGCAAAGAAAUUAAUGGCUUUCUUGAAAAGGGAAACAUCUUUUGUCAACCAGGUUGUCCAGACAAAAUCCGACGGGGAACCAUAGAGCGGCCAGUACCACGAUGAGAAACAACGAAAAACCAGCUGAUAUACGUGCGUAUUGCUGUUAUGUCCGCUAUUACCCGCUGCUGCGGCGGCGGCCGCAGCAUGUGCCGCUUUCAUUGAACGCCCAUUAGGCAGACAUGAAUCAGGUAACGGCAGCAAGGCCAAAAGCCACAACAUAUAACCUUGAUGGUAUUAAGCAGAGGUCUAUCGUUGGCUAUUUGUCUCCAAAUAUAUUGUUCAUGUAGAGUUCACUCGAUACGAGUGUCACAGUGUCAACGUUGGUGCUAACACUGGUACAUGCGGACGGUUGCUGGUUGCCGAAAGAAGCCAAGUAAGAUAUUCAUUAAUGGUUAAAACAGUAGUACCAUUAGCAGAUGUGAUAUCUAUUGCGCGCAAUAUGAGAUAUGCCGAAUAUGGAUGUUCUGGUUUAGUGAUCUCGGAAUGAAAUUCAAAACUAAGUUCCUGUGUACAUCUUUGUUCUUGCGUUAGUCAAUAGGAUACCAGUAAGUUGACUUUUCCUGCAUAGAGGAAACAGCAUCAGCCAAACUACUUCCCAGGGACCAUUUGCGGAGUCAGAGCUGUUUGACAAAUUUUCAAUCACUCACAGUUCUGCAGAGUUCAGCGUCAGCUUUACUAAUCACUUUACGAAGACGGUGUUUUAGGCCAGGGCUUUUUUUGUUUAGUGCUAUUUGGUACACACAAUGACCUUCGCAUGAUCCCAUAGGAAAAAUCAAAGGUGAAAUCGCCGCCCUAAAGCUGCCACUUACUGUCAUCGUCCCGCCUCGAGAUCAACGUGUCUGGGAACUUUACGGCUUUUCGCGAAUUGAUUUUUUUUCGCGUUGUGUGACAAGUUUCCCCGUCUGGUAAAAUUAAACAUGAGAUGCAACCGAAACAUCUAGUUGUAGAGUUUACCAUCAAUUGUCGCCGUUGCCCGAUCGUGACGUUCACAG